GCACAUUUCACGGCAACACGGGUGAAGGGGCAGAACUCGUUCCAAACGUUUUGCUGGAGUUACUUCCGGCUAUUCAACAUGGAACACGAAAAACUAAUAGCAGCAGUGAGAGCUCGAGAAUUCAUUUACAAAGAGAGUGACAAGAGCCACUCAAACAGAGAUGGGCAUGGGAGAACAUUGCAUGAGAAGUUGGAAACAAUGUGAGCUCAGCGGCGUGCAGGAGCAGAUGGGCAUCUUUGCGUGACCAUUUCCGAAGAAAGCUUAAUAAUAUAAAUAAGGAACUGACGACAACACAAUAUAGUCAAGCUGCAAACCAAAAAAUGAAAAUGCUAUCUUUAUGAUUUCCUGACCUUUUUUAUACCAUCGUGCUCAUAUGGUGCUACAAGCGGCAAUUUAAGUCAAAUCAUGGAUGCGGACGAAAACAGGUCUGCACCAUCAGAUGAUGAAAUCACUUGCAGUAACAGUCGGUUAUCUGUGCAAUGAGACCACUCAUUCUGCUCCAAAACCAGCACCCAGGAACCAAGCUUGCUGUUCUCGUAAAAAAGUAGUUUGUCUGCCGUCGACAGGGAGGUGCUGCAGGCACUAUCAACGCCAGAAAAAUAAGUAGACGAUAACGACAUGUUCUUUAAAAGCUUGCUUCCGGCUAUGAAAACUUUGGAUACAGCAGAGACCCUGGAACUUCGAUCUGAGAUCCAGCGCCUUGUUUUGUCCCAUGUAAAAGCCAAAGUGAACAGAGUGUCUUCCAUUGCAUCCUCUCAAGAGAGGGUUGUUACUUCCCCACAAGCAAGUAGCCUACAUCUGCCGGAGAUGCUGCAGCAAUGUUCCGUUUGACACAGGACUCGCAGAACACUUACUAUACGCAGGAUCAGUACUUCAGCCCCCAGCCAUAUCCACGAAUGACAACUAUGAACGACGUUAUUGUUUAGAAAAACAGUUGUAGUGCAGUUGUCAGUAGUUAAUAAAGAAACACAUUUUUCCUCCCUUAUUGGGAAUUACCGAUUACAAUACUUUCCCACUUCAACGUUUGCUGUGUUUGAUAUAUAUAUAAAAACAAGAUUUCCAUGUUUGUGUUCUGUAUAGAAGGUAAAUAAAAAUAAAAAUAUAA